UCCCCCACACUGGUACUGAGACACGGACCAAGACUCUUACGGGAGGCAGCAGUGAGGAAUAUUGGGCAAUGGACGAAAGUCUGACCCAGCCAUGUCGCGUGAAGGAAGACAGCCCUAUGGGUUGUAAACUUCUUUUCUAUAGGAAUAAACGCUUCGACGUGUCGAGGUUUGAAGGUACUAUAGGAAUAAGCAUCGGCUAACUCCGUGCCAGCAGCCGCGGUAAUACGGAGGAUGCAAGCGUUAUCCGGAUUUAUUGGGUUUAAAGGGUGCGUAGGCGGAUUGAUAAGUCAGUGGUGAAAUCCCGUAGCUUAACUACGGAACUGCCAUUGAUACUGUUAAUCUUGAAUUAAGUCGAGGUAGGCGGAAUUGAUGGUGUACCGGUGAAAAUGCAUAGAUAUCAUCAGGAAGACCGAUUGCGUAGGCAGCUUACUAAACUUAUAUUGACGCUGAGGCACGAAAGCGUGGGGAGCGAACAGGAUUACAUACCCUGGUAGUCCACGCCGUAAACUAUGAUGACUCGCUGUUGGCAAUAUAUCGUCAGUGGCUAAGCGAAAGCGUUAAGUCAUCCACCUGGGGAGUACGUCGGCAACAAUGAAACUCCAAAGAAUUGACGGGGGCCCACAACGGAAGAGAUGUGGUUUAAUUCGAUGAUACGCGAGGAACUUACCCGGGCUUAAAUGCAGAUUGACACUUCGAGAAAUCGAAGUUCCUUCGGGCAAUUUGCAAGGUGCUGCAUGGUUGUCGUCAGCUCGUGCCGUGAGGUGUCGGGUUAAGUCCCAUAACGAGCGCAACCCCUAUUGUUAGUUACCAGCGUGUAAUGGCGGGGACUCUAUCAAGACUGCCGGUGCAAACCGGAGGAAGGUGGGGAUGACUCAAAUCAGCACGGCCCUUACGUCCGGGGCUACACACGUGUUACAAUGGCCGGUACAAAGGGAAGCUACACAGUGAUGUGAUGCAAAACUCGAAAACCGGUCUCAGUUCGGAUUGGAGUCUGCAAUUCGACUCCAUGAAGUUGGGAUUCGCU
rnacentral:rRNA from 1 species